AACUCUCGCCCCAGUGGUCCUCGAGCAGCGGGGGUUUCGCAGCGGGUGACUCGCUCAUCGUCUGCAUUUAUGCUAUUGCCGGCAAAGCCGAAAGUGCGCUGGCUGCGGUGUUCGCCGUGUAACUUUUUCUCAUCUCACUCCGUGCGCGAGCGUCGGAUAAGUGACGUCUUCUACUCGAGGAAUGUUUCGCUGCCUCACGUGUUGCGUAAGCUCAUGGAACCUGCAGUACAACCUAACUGAAGAAAUCCCCUUCACCUCCUGAGGUCGAGUUCAACGAAUGCUGUACGAUAAGGAUGCCAGCGGUGGAGCGGUGAACUCGGCUGCGACACAACCGACGCACAUUACCUGCGUCAAAAGUGCAACAAUGCAAGAAAGCAUCGCAUCAAUCUUCUUUCGACGUGCUGGUCUGCCUAUGUAGCACUGAAGCUUGUUGACAGGGUGGCGCCACCUGUAGGAAAAUUUCGGCAGGCUCUUUGGUUGCACCCUCGAGCUGAAUUUUUUCCCUUCUUGUUCUCUUUCUUGUCAUUUGACCUUUUAGCUUAAAUGCUGCCAGAAAAGUUCGCGUGCUAAGCUUGCACAACCUUAACAUCCUGAUGCACUAAGCGGCAAGAGCAAAGAGGAUUUCACUCAAAUGGGAUAACCCUAGAGGGCGAGACGGACUUCGAAAGUCUUUGCGAUUGAAUUAUAGACUUUCACAGGAGAAGGCCAACCGCCGCACCAAGCGAACGUAAAUUUGUGAACUUACGAAAAAAAGCUUUCGUACGUAGUGAAGUCCUUUACAGCUGCCACAUCGAGUCCUACUAGUGCUCUUUUAUUUAAAGAAACACACAGAAAAAGCAUAAUUUCGACCCCAAUAACAGCACUGAAGAUUUAUUCGUUGGUUGGCCUGUCUACAAAAAGUGCUGUCGUCGUCGAUAUAAAGGAGAAGACAAGGUCCGCUUGCGAGGGCGCUGCAUUUGAGCUCCUCUUUCCAGCUGGUCGUUUGCGCAGAGUAGGACGGGUUCUUUCGAACGCAGCUGUCUGCGAGUACGUCACUAUGCUGAAAGCGCGUACGAUCCGACAUUCAAGCAGUAAAGUAAUGCGGAAAGGAGACAAAUAAGAGCGAUCCCCAGUAUUUAACGUGUUCUGAGUGUCUCUGAAGUGUCUUGUGGCCCAUACUGUGUUUAUUGGCUUCUUCGUGCGGAUGUUGCGCUGUCGUUCCUGGAUGAAGUGAAGCAAAGGGCAAUGACUAGUUGCAAGCGCUGAAUUUAGCGUAGCUCCUUUCUUGACACGUGAAUGCACCUGCACGAAGAGGAAGCCUUCACUGCGCUUUCGAAGAGUCGCCGAACAUCUACUCUUCAGUGAACUCCGGGAAGUGACAUUCAGUGUUACAUUUUGCGGUGGUGUGUUUGCUUUCGUCGCGCUUGCUGGUUAAGACUGGCUGCCCUAUUGCUUCGUCAACUAAGCGGACCAAACGCGUUUCCAAAGAGGUGAAUGCGUCGUCACGGCUACGGUGUGAACCACAGGCGAGUGCGCCAGCCCGGUGAGCCAUCACCGCUGAGACCGUGAUGGAGGCAUGGCGGUUCGCAUAGGCGCCCCGUGUUGGCCAUGCGAGCCGCUCGCAACAGGACUAUCAAUGAGAUUGGUGGUGGGCUCGAGACAACCGGGAGUUCCUCCAUCACCACCACCCCCAUGAUGACCAGCACCAUGUGGCCGUCGACUACGAUGCCCACUCCUCCGUUACUGGGACACGCCCUGCGACCACCGAGGC
rnacentral:lncRNA from 1 species